GAGAGAUUAAAAAACUAAUUAUCUUUAGCCUUUGCAAAGGGAUACCAUAAAAACAAAUUAUUCACAUUGAAAAAAAAAAUUGGCUGGAAAAACAAAUUGUGUGCUUAUCAAGUUUGUCCAACUAAAAUUCCUCAAUGAAACAAUGGUAGAUCCUGAAUAUGCAAAUGCAUUAGCAUGAUGUCGUCGAUAAUGGUUGAUUACAAAGAAAACUAUCUGAUAAAUAAAACAUUGAUGUCACACCACAUAUAACUAUCUGAUAAAUAAAACAUUGAUGUCACACCACAUAUAACUAUCUGAUAAAUAAAACAUUGAUGUCACACCACAUAUAACUAUCUGAUAAAUAAAACAUUGAUGUCACACCACAUAUAACUAUCUGAUAAAUAAAACAUUGAUGUCACACCACAUAUAACUAUCUGAUAAAUAAAACAUUGAUGUCACACCACAUAUAACUAUCUGAUAAAUAAAACAUUGAUGUCACACCACAUAUAACUAUCUGAUAAAUAAAACAUUGAUGUCACACCACAUAUAACUAUCUGAUAAAUAAAACAUUGAUGUCACACCACAUAUAACUAUCUGAUAAAUAAAACAUUGAUGUCACACCACAUAUAACUAUCUGAUAAAUAAAACAUUGAUGUCACACCACAUAUAACUAUCUGAUAAAUAAAACAUUGAUGUCACACCACAUAUAACUAUCUGAUAAAUAAAACAUUGAUGUCACACCACAUAUAACUAUCUGAUAAAUAAAACAUUGAUGUCACACCACAUAUAUCUUUUGGUGAGAUGGCAUAAAAAUUUCAAACAUCUACCUAACUGGAAAGUAUCAUGCACGAGUAACUGAGGCCAGGUUAGACGUGUUACCAUCCUGCAAACACAAACAAAGUGCAUCAUGUCAUUCGACAAAGUAAUGCAGAUAUCUGUAAAUAGACAAUAACAGAUAGGUUGAGAUUUUUGAGUGAUGAUCAAGUAAUAUAAAUCAGAAUUAGCACUCCUCUGAUUAGAUUCAAGGAAAUAUCGAUAGCAGUAUCAUCUGAGGUAUGGGCAGCAGAUAAGUAGUGUGCUUUGUUAUCUAGUAUUCCCUGCAAUAGCCUAAUAGGGGAACUGAAUGUCCAAAAAAGGGGGUGCUUUUGCCUAAGAUAUGAAAUUUGCACAUUAUGGAUGUUGAUAAACGUUCUGAAGAAAAUUUCUGGACAAAAACAGAUGAUACUACUACUUAUCGGUGUAACUUAAUUUACAGACUCUAGUUUUCCAUUUCAUGGCAAGGAGUAUUUCAACCACCUGAAAGAUUGAAAUUUGCACCUUCAACAUUUCUUGAACUUCCAAUUUUCCCCUAGUAACCCCAUUGUCCCAAAAGGAAAAAGAAACUAAUUUAUGUACACCUCCAACAUUCCCAGGUUCACUGGUUUCACUAAAUAUGCAUCCUAGAAAAACACAUCAACAACAACAAUAUACCCAGUAAAAUCACACAAAGUGUAGUCUGGGGAAGGUUGGGGAAGGUAGAAUGUACACAGACCUUACCACUACAUCAUGGAGGUAGAGAGGUUUCCGAAAGACUUUUGGCUCAGAUGCAACAAUUCCAGAUACAAAAAAGAAAAUAUAGCAAGAAAUACCAGAAGGUAGCAACAACACAAAAAUAAUGCAAUAAUCAAAACACAAUAAACGAUAUAAUAGGAUAGAGUACUGAAAACAAUAGUAAAUAAUAAUGGAUAUCAAAACAAGAACUACAGUAAUGCAACUAGUAUGCUGGCAAACAUCAAUCACCCUAAGCAAAACAACAUUACACUACGUACUAACCUUCUACCCUAAUACCCUAGAAAAACACAUCAAAAAGAGUAUUCCCUGCUUUUCAAGAUCAAUGGAACUGACUUCAAAACAAAAAAGUUAUUUUAGAAGAACUAAUUGACAAUUAGAGCAUCUGAUCACUUCCGCUCAUAAAUGCAAGACAAGUAGCCAACUGUAUUAGUAGAAUCUAUAGAUCUAUGAUAGUAGGGGAAAAAAUGGUUGCAGGACAAUUGAAAAUUUCUGAUUCAAAGUGUUGAAGACAUUACCCUAUCUAUCUAACACUAUUAUAAAAGCACGAAGCCCCUAUGUGAAUUGGUGAUAAGACUUUUUUACCCUUUAAAAGUAGAUUUUACAUAAAGCAAAAUUGUUACUUAACUUUUUUCCUAAUAUUUAGAACUUUCCUUACUGGGAAAAGGGUCUGAAAAAUACUCCAAUUUUGGCCGAAUUUGCUAUCGAAUUUUGGUAAGGUCCUUUUACCCUCUACACUAUUUAAUAGUGUAUUUUAAAGGUAUAUAUGUGCCCACGUGGACACGUUACUAUUUAUAAUAUUGCAAUAUUUAUGAUGUCCACGUGGACACAUAUAUACCUUUAAAAUACACUAUUAAAUAGUGUAGAGGGUAAAAGGACCUUACCAAAAUUCGAUAUUGUUACAGCAAUUUCAAUCAAAGUCACUCGCACUUCCUCCUCCCAAGUUUUGUCCAAGCUGCAUCUGCACUGCACCUCCCGGUGUUCACUUGGACGGUGUCUCCACACCUGCACCCUCUGGUGACUAACUUCGUGGUGACACUCAAGUCACCACACCAUGACCCUCAAGUCACCACACCAUGACCCUCAGCUGUCUAGAAACCUGUUCUCCCUUGCAAUACAUUUGCGUUAUUAGUAGCGCCACAAACAAGGCUAAAGUAUUAGAGACCUUGAAGCGCAUCCUUAGCACCUUCAGCCCGGCCUAGUACUUGGACACAUCAUGAUGAGAACUGCUUAGUACCGCAAACAAAACUAGAGCAUUGGAGGCCUUGAAAGCAUGUCCUUGACAUCUCUAGCUUGCUGGAAUAGAGAUGGGAAUCAAUCAAGACACAGGGAGAGAUGGAAGAUUGUCCCCGCCUGCAUUUGGCGGACUAUAUAUGGAUGGAAAGGAACCAGAGAUGUUUCGAAAACAAGAGUUGCUCUCCGCAGAAAUUGAAGAUGAAUUGUCUAGUCCUUUUCUUUUUUGGUGUAAACACGAAUAUCCUCAAGAAGAAGAGGAUAUUCCUAGUAUUUUAGAUUAUUUAUGAAGCCUUAGUAGGGACACCUCUCCCACUAUAAUUUUGUUGUAAUUAUUACUGGAAUACUUUUCGGAGUAUUCCUUUUGUUCAUAAUACAAGUUACCUUCUUCAAAAAAAAAAAAAAGAGACUGCAGAGACAAACAGUAAUCUGUUCCUGCAUUGUAAAGUGACGGACCAAUAGUGGUCACUCUUCUUUAGCCUCACAGGUAACAACCGGACUAUGCCAGAACACACAACGGACAUUUUAAGUUGUUGGAUUAGGAGAGGGGCUAGCAAGUCGCUGAAGAGAUGGUGGAGAGCAGUUCCAUCGUGAAUUUAGUGGACAAUAUGGAAGGAAAGAAAUGGAAGAAGAUGAAGUGGACUUUCAUCGUGAAUUUUCAUUUUGGUGUAAACUAGCUAAUGUGGAAAAUGAAGUUCAAUUUGUUUGGGCUAUAGUUUCUCUGUUGAUAAACUUUUUGGAGGUCUCCAACAUAUCCUUAAUGCCGAGGAAUACAAUUACAAGUUCUCAGAAAAGUAGAGUAUGAAACCAUCCUUGUCUAGAUCUGAUGAAUAAACUCGUAUGAAACAAAUAGCUCUUAAAUUAGGAGCGAACUAGGGAGUCCAGGGAAAGAAAGACAGCCAUUGAAAAAGAAGCAAAAGAAUAAAGGGAUAGAAAGUAUCCUACCUACCUUGAACUAACGGAACUCAUCAUGGUCUUCAUAGUCUUCAUCAUCCUCGUUGAAUAUUGCACUAUAGAAAACAUACGGGCUAUCAAUCAUCUCUUUCAGAGUAAG
rnacentral:lncRNA from 1 species